rnacentral:rRNA from 1 species
UGGGGAAUAUUGCACAAUGGGGGGAACCCUGAUGCAGCGACGCCGCGUGAGUGAAGAAGUAUUUCGGUAUGUAAAGCUCUAUCAGCAGGGACGAAGAUGACGGUACCUGCAGAAGAAGCCCGGCUAACUACGUGCC